rnacentral:rRNA from 1 species
GACGGAGGGGGCUAGCGUUGUUCGGAAUUACUGGGCGUAAAGCGCACGUAGGCGGCUUUUUAAGUCAGAGGUGAAAGCCCGGGGCUCAACCCCGGAAUAGCCUUUGAGACUGGAAAGCUAGAAUCACGGAGAGGUGGGUGGAAUUCCGAGUGUAGAGGUGAAAUUCGUAGAUAUUCGGAAGAACACCAGGGGCGAAGGCGGCCCACUGGACGUGUAUUGACGCUGAGGUGCGAAAGCGUGGGGAGCAAAC